GACCCUCAGACCAGGUAGGCUGUGCACUC
rnacentral:piRNA from 1 species